rnacentral:rRNA from 1 species
UACGAAGGGGGCUAGCGUUGCUCGGAAUUACUGGGCGUAAAGGGCGCGUAGGCGGAUAUUUAAGUUAGAGGUGAAAGCCCAGGGCUCAACCCUGGAAUAGCCUUUAAUACUGGAUAUCUUGAGUUCGGGAGAGGUGAGGUGGAAUGCCGAGUGUAGAGGUGAAAUUCGUAGAUAUUCGGCGGAACACCAGUGGCGAAGGCGACUCACUGGCCCGAUACUGACGCUGAGGCGCGAAAGCGGUGGGGAGCAAACAGGG